UACGUAGGGUGCGAGCGUUAAUCGGAAUUACUGGGCGUAAAGCGUGCGCAGGCGGGCUUUUAAGCCAGACGUGAAAUCCCCGGGCUUAACCUGGGAAUGGCGUUUGGGACUGGGAGUCUGGAGUGCGGCAGAGGAGACUGGAAUUCCUGGUGUAGCAGUGAAAUGCGUAGAUAUCGUAAGGAAGACCAGUGGCGAAGGCGAAUCUCUGGACAGUUACUGACACUGAGGCACGAAGGCCAGGGGAGCAAACGGG
rnacentral:rRNA from 1 species